AGAAAAGUUCCUUCUUCUAAAGAAAGUGCAAGAAAAUGCCCUAUUUGGACUAAAUCAGAAUGGAGAGCCAGUGCCCAGAGAGCCGAGGGAAGAGAAUAAUUACACCUGUAGCUGUCAGCACAAUGAUGGUAAACAUAAAGAAAGAACCUGAGAUGGAGGAUAGAAGGAGAACUUAUUCCAGCCUCCAGGUGUCCUGCCUCUGGGGGCUCCAGUUUUCUCCUCACCAUCUGAUCAUUCUCUCAAGGGCCUGGAUUUUAUUGCAGUCCUCCAUCAUGUGAAAAAUGUUGAGGCAUCAAAGCAUUGAGACCU